UCCCUGCUGGUUCACUGGUUAGGACUCCAUGCUUUCACUGUGGAGGACACGGGUUCAAUUCCUGCUCAGGGAA
rnacentral:tRNA from 1 species